rnacentral:rRNA from 2 species
CGGCGUCGAGCGGCGGACGGGUGAGUAAUGCCUAGGAAAUUGCCCUGAUGUGGGGGAUAACCAUUGGAAACGAUGGCUAAUACCGCAUGAUGCCUACGGGCCAAAGAGGGGGACCUUCGGGCCUCUCGCGUCAGGAUAUGCCUAGGUGGGAUUAGCUAGUUGGUGAGGUAAGGGCUCACCAAGGCGACGAUCCCUAGCUGGUCUGAGAGGAUGAUCAGCCACACUGGAACUGAGACACGGUCCAGACUCCUACGGGAGGCAGCAGUGGGGAAUAUUGCACAAUGGGCGCAAGCCUGAUGCAGCCAUGCCGCGUGUGUGAAGAAGGCCUUCGGGUUGUAAAGCACUUUCAGUCGUGAGGAAGGUAGUGUAGUUAAUAGCUGCAUUAUUUGACGUUAGCGACAGAAGAAGCACCGGCUAACUCCGUGCCAGCAGCCGCGGUAAUACGGAGGGUGCGAGCGUUAAUCGGAAUUACUGGGCGUAAAGCGCAUGCAGGUGGUUUGUUAAGUCAGAUGUGAAAGCCCGGGGCUCAACCUCGGAAUUGCAUUUGAAACUGGCAG